GCCUGAUCAGCCAUGCCGCGUGUGUGAAGAAGGCCUUCGGGUUGUAAAGCACUUUCUGUGAGGAAGAAAGCCUUGAGGUUAAUACCCUCGAGGGAGGACAUCACUCACAGAAGAAGCACCGGCUAACUCCGUGCCAGCAGCCGCGGUAAUACGGAGGGUGCGAGCGUUAAUCGGAAUUACUGGGCGUAAAGCGCGCGUAGGCGGCUUGAUAAGCCGGUUGUGAAAGCCCCGGGCUCAACCUGGGAACGGCAUCCGGAACUGUCAGGCUAGAGUGCAGGAGAGGAAGGUAGAAUUCCCGGUGUAGCGGUGAAAUGCGUAGAGAUCGGGAGGAAUACCAGUGGCGAAGGCGGCCUUCUGGACUGACACUGACGCUGAGGUGCGAAAGCGUGGGUAGCAAACAGGAUUAGAUACCCUGGUAGUCCACGCCGUAAACGAUGUCGACUAGCCGUUGGGCUCCUUGAGAGCUUUGUGGCGCAGUUAACGCGAUAAGUCGACCGCCUGGGGAGUACGGCCGCAAGGUUAAAACUCAAAUGAAUUGACGGGGGCCCGCACAAGCGGUGGAGCAUGUGGUUUAAUUCGAUGCAACGCGAAGAACCUUACCUACCCUUGACAUCGAGAGAACUUUCCAGAGAUGGAUUGGUGCCUUCGGGAACUCUCAGACAGGUGCUGCAUGGCUGUCGUCAGCUCGUGUUGUGAAAUGUUGGGUUAAGUCCCGUAACGAGCGCAACCCUUGUCCCUAUUUGCCAGCGAUUCGGUCGGGAACUCUAGGGAGACUGCCGGUGACAAACCGGAGGAAGGUGGGGACGACGUCAAGUCAUCAUGGCCCCUUACGGGUAGGGCUACACACGUGCUACAAUGGCCCGGUACAAUGGGUU
rnacentral:rRNA from 1 species